rnacentral:rRNA from 1 species
CCAAUAGCGUAUAUUAAAGUUGUUGCAGUUAAAAAGCUCGUAGUUGAACUUCGGGGUUUACCCAUUGGUCAGGCUUAAUUGUCUGCACUGGUGAGAUGGAUCUCUACCUUCUGAGGAACUUUCAUGCCAUUUAUUUGGUGUGAUGGGAAAUCAGGACUGUUACUUUGAAAAAAUUAGAGUGUUUAAAGCAGACUAUCGUCUGAAUACAUUAGCAUGGAAUAAUGAAAUAGGACGGACUGAUUCUAUUUCGUUGGUUUCUAGGAUCACCGUAAUGAUUAAUAGGGAUAGUUGGGGGCAUUAGUAUUCAAUUGUCAGAGGUGAAAUUCUUGGAUUUAUUGAAGACUAACUACUGCGAAAGCAUUUGUCAAGGAUGUUUUCAUUAAUCAAGAACGAAAGUUAGGGGAUCGAAGACGAUCAGAUACCGUCGUAGUCUUAACCAUAAACUAUGCCGACUAGGGAUCGGACGAAGUUAAUUUUAUAAUGACGCGUUCGGCACCUUACG